CAGCAAUCUUUUCUUCAGUUAUUCCAAUGUGUAAGUGACAAUGAUAUAAAAAAAGCAAAUACAACUAAUAAAAAUUAACUUAAAAUAAAGGUAUGUGGAGCACUACUUCUUACUAUGCUUUAAGCCUGCUACUGAUAUGCUACAAUAAAUAUAUCGACUAAUAAAAUAUACAGAACAAAUUCUAUCUUAAACCAUCAC